rnacentral:rRNA from 1 species
UACGGGGGGGGCAAGCGUUGUUCGGAAUUACUGGGCGUAAAGGGCUCGUAGGCGGCCAACUAAGUCGGACGUGAAAUCCCCAGGCUCAACCUGGGAACUGCGUCCGAUACUGGAUGGCUUGAAUCCGGGAGAGGGAUGCAGAAUUCCAGGUGUAGCGGUGAAAUGCGUAGAUAUCUGGAGGAAUACCGGUGGCGAAGGCGGCAUCCUGGACCGACAUUGACGCUGAUGAGCGAAAGCUAGGGGAGCAAACGGGG